rnacentral:rRNA from 1 species
UACGUAGGGUGCGAGCGUUAAUCGGAAUUACUAGGCGUAAAGCGUGCGCAGGCGGUUUGCUAAGACAGGUGUGAAAUCCCCGGGCUUAACCUGGGAACUGCGCUUGUGACUGGCAGGCUAGAGUACGGUAGAGGGGGGUGGAAUUCCUGGUGUAGCAGUGAAAUGCGUAGAUAUCAGGAGGAACACCGAUGGCGAAGGCAGCCCCCUGGGCCUGUACUGACGCUCAUGCACGAAAGCGUGGGGAGCAAACAGGAUUAGAUACU